AUUGAACGCUGGCGGCAGGCUUAACACAUGCAAGUCGAACGAUGACUCUCUAGCUUGCUAGAGAAGAUUAGUGGCGGACGGGUGAGUAACAUUUAGGAAUCUGCCUAGUAGUGGGGGAUAGCUCGGGGAAACUCGAAUUAAUACCGCAUACGACCUACGGGUGAAAGGGGGCGCAAGCUCUUGCUAUUAGAUGAGCCUAAAUCAGAUUAGCUAGUUGGUGGGGUAAAGGCCCACCAAGGCGACGAUCUGUAACUGGUCUGAGAGGAUGAUCAGUCACACCGGAACUGAGACACGGUCCGGACUCCUACGGGAGGCAGCAGUGGGGAAUAUUGGACAAUGGGGGCAACCCUGAUCCAGCCAUGCCGCGUAUGUGAAGAAGGCCUUUUGGUUGUAAAGCACUUUAAGCAGGGAGGAGAGGCUAAUGGUUAAUACCCAUUAGAUUAGACGUUACCUGCAGAAUAAGCACCGGCUAACUCUGUGCCAGCAGCCGCGGUAAUACAGAGGGUGCGAGCGUUAAUCGGAAUUACUGGGCGUAAAGCGAGUGUAGGUGGCUCAUUAAGUCACAUGUGAAAUCCCCGGGCUUAACCUGGGAACUGCAUGUGAUACUGGUGGUGCUAGAAUAUGUGAGAGGGAAGUAGAAUUCCAGGUGUAGCGGUGAAAUGCGUAGAGAUCUGGAGGAAUACCGAUGGCGAAGGCAGCUUCCUGGCAUAAUAUUGACACUGAGAUUCGAAAGCGUGGGUAGCAAACAGGAUUAGAUACCCUGGUAGUCCACGCCGUAAACGAUGUCUACUAGCCGUUGGGGUCCUUGAGACUUUAGUGGCGCAGUUAACGCGAUAAGUAGACCGCCUGGGGAGUACGGCCGCAAGGUUAAAACUCAAAUGAAUUGACGGGGGCCCGCACAAGCGGUGGAGCAUGUGGUUUAAUUCGAUGCAACGCGAAGAACCUUACCUGGUCUUGACAUAGUGAGAAUCCUGCAGAGAUGCGGGAGUGCCUUCGGGAAUUCACAUACAGGUGCUGCAUGGCUGUCGUCAGCUCGUGUCGUGAGAUGUUGGGUUAAGUCCCGCAACGAGCGCAACCCUUUUCCUUAUUUGCCAGCGGGUUAAGCCGGGAACUUUAAGGAUACUGCCAGUGACAAACUGGAGGAAGGCGGGGACGACGUCAAGUCAUCAUGGCCCUUACGACCAGGGCUACACACGUGCUACAAUGGUAGGUACAGAGGGUUGCUACACAGCGAUGUGAUGCUAAUCUCAAAAAGCCUAUCGUAGUCCGGAUUGGAGUCUGCAACUCGACUCCAUGAAGUCGGAAUCGCUAGUAAUCGCAGAUCAGAAUGCUGCGGUGAAUACGUUCCCGGGCCU
rnacentral:rRNA from 1 species